rnacentral:rRNA from 1 species
AAUAGAUACCCGGUAGUCCAUGCCGUAAACGUUGGGAACUAGAUGUAGGGCCUGUUCCACGGGUUCUGGUGUCGUAGCUAACGCAUUAAGUUCCCCGCCUGGGGAGUACGGCCGCAAGGCUAAAACUCAAAGGAAUUGACGGGGGCCCGCACAAGCGGCGGAGCAUGCGGAUUAAUUCGAUGCAACGCGAAGAACCUUACCAAGGCUUGACAUAUAGAAGAACACUGCAGAGAUGCAGGACUCUUUGGACACUUCUAUACAGGUGGUGCAUGGUUGUCGUCAGCUCGUGUCGUGAGAUGUUCGGUUAAGUCCGGCAACGAGCGCAACCCUCGUCCUAUGUUGCCAGCGGGUGAUGCCGGGAACUCAUGGGGUACUGCCGUGGUCAACACGGAGGAAGGUGGGGAUGACGUCAAAUCAUCAUGCCCCUUAUGUCUUGGGCUUCACGCAUGCUACAAUGGCCGGUACAAAGGGCGGCGAUACCGUAAGGUGGAGCGAAUCCCAAAAAGCCGGUCUCAGUUCGGAUUGGGGUCUGCAACUCCG